GUGAAUCAUCAAAUCUUUGAACGCAAAUUGCACUCUCUGGUAUUCCGGAGAGUAUGCCUGUUUGAGGGUCAGUUUAAAUAAAAAUCGGUGUGGUUGCUGCCUUUCGUGGUGACGCACCGGAUGUGGGUCGUCUUGCCUUCGGUUAAGUGACCUAAAAUUUUGCAUGAUUUUUUCGAACGAAUCUAAAUGAUUUUACGUCCGUUUGGGAUAUCGAUUACUAGGUCCGGACAUCCUCAUGUUCACCUC
rnacentral:misc_RNA from 1 species